AUAAUUCAUUGGAUAUUUAACAAGGGGUAUUAUGGUCAAAUUAUCAUGGUCUGAGAACGCUAACGUGGAGCACAAGAAAUCCACUCGGCUGAUGUUCUCGGUACAGCAACUUUCUCUCCCAAUUUGAUUUUGACCUGCUCGAUCUCUGUCCCAGGAGCUGUCUUCGUUUUUCGUCAUCGUCUAUUUUCAAGGGGGUUUAAUCAUCAAGCUUGAUAAAAAUCUUGAAUCUGACAGUUGUGUUGUAGAUAAGUCUUCAGCUACUGAUGUGAGCUGUACUAUGUUAUCCUAUCUGACAUUUAUAUGAAUUUUGAUGUAUAUUUAAAAAGAUGGUAAUGAGAGGGAUGGAUGAUAGAAGUAGUGAAAGAAGAGACUACGGGGAUCGGUGUAAGAGGUAUAACUGCAGUAGUGAGAGAAGUGAUUAUAGGGGUAACAACAGGGGUGAGAGACAAAGGCAUAGGGAUGAUGGUAAAGAACAGUGUUAUGAUUAUGAUGGAGAAUAUGGAAGGAAGCGAAGUAGAUAUGAAAGCUCAAAGAGGGGACCUGGUAUGAGGUUCUUCCUUUUUCUUUUUUGGAUUUCGUUUGAUGUUUGUUUACAUCCUCUCAAAAACAAAAGGCCAUAAGCAGUAUAUGGUACAAAAUUUGGGUUAUGCUUCGAAAACUACUUGUAAGCUCAUCAUUUUGCAGGAUCCAAGUUUUAUGACGGUUCUUUUAUGUCCUGAAUAAAUAAAAACAUGGAAUUAUGUUUGGAAGGUUCUUGAACUUUGAUUCCAAUAAUUUAAGUAUUCCUUCCUGGUUCUAGAAAUUUGUCUUUGGCUAUAUAGACUACUUGUUUACGGACAGAGUGUACUUGUUCUGCUAGAGUUUGAACUGUUGUAAAUAGUUUACAAUAGAUUUGUAGUUGUCUUUGAAAUUACAUGGCUUUUACUUGGAAGAGAAAUUGGCCAUGGAGGAAGAGAUGGAGAAUCUGAGGAAGGAGCAAGCUAAGGCCGAAAGAGAAAAUAAGUUGAAGAGGGAAAAGAGGGUUAGGCAACAGCAACGUGUGUCUACCCCGGGCCUGCGGCAGGUUACUUCUACAUAUUUAAGACCCAAGAAGCUUGGUCUGUAAAUAUUUACUGAAAAAAGAAAAAAAUUGCAGUAUUUGUGGAUGGUAGUGGAAAUAGAAACUUUAGUCAUCGGUGAGCUCCAUAUCUUUAUGACAGGAGACUUUGAUUGUGGUAACUUGUAUAUAAAUAUAUUACUCUAUAUAUUCAGUGAUUCAUUUGUUUGAUCCAAAGAGAAAAAUGGCUCGGAUUUUGGAAACACCUCAACCUUGUUUAUCAUCUAUCAAAAAUAAGAGCAGCAGGGGGCUUGAAGCCAAGAGGAAUACGAGCAAUAAUAGUAAACUUGUGUCUGAACCUCUUCAAGACCUAAAGCUUUACACUUGUAUAAGAGGGAGGUUUCUUCGAUUAAUAUAUACUAUUUCAAUAUUAAUUUCGUCC